UACGUAGGGUGCAAGCGUUAAUCGGAAUUACUGGGCGUAAAGCGUGCGCAGGCGGCUUUGCAAGACAGAUGUGAAAUCCCCGGGCCUAACCUGGGAACUGCAUUUGUGACUGCAUGGCUAGAGUGCGGCAGAGGGGGAUGGAAUUCCACGUGUAGCAGUGAAAUGCGUAGAGAUGUGGAGGAACACCGAUGGCGAAGGCAGCCCCCUGGGCUGAGAUUGACGCUCAGGCACGAAAGCGUGGGGAGCAAACAGG
rnacentral:rRNA from 1 species